UAGAUCCUGAAGUGUGCGUUGAGGACUUUAUAAUUCAACCUACGUAACGACAUUGGGAGCCCGAGUUUCCGUCGUGGAUGUCAAGCCUCCUUAGAGUGGAAGGCAGAAGCAAGAACAGGGCACCCCCCUAUCAGUGAUAGGGUGUGAAUUAUUUAUCCUUGACGGCAUGUCGGGAUUUUU
rnacentral:other from 1 species